rnacentral:rRNA from 1 species
CCAUGGCUCAGAUUGAACGCUGGCGGCAGGCCUAACACAUGCAAGUCGAGCGGUAGAGAGAAGCUUGCUUCUCUUGAGAGCGGCGGACGGGUGAGUAAUGCCUAGGAAUCUGCCUGGUAGUGGGGGAUAACGUUCGGAAACGGACGCUAAUACCGCAUACGUCCUACGGGAGAAAGCAGGGGACCUUCGGGCCUUGCGCUAUCAGAUGAGCCUAGGUCGGAUUAGCUAGUUGGUGAGGUAAUGGCUCACCAAGGCGACGAUCCGUAACUGGUCUGAGAGGAUGAUCAGUCACACUGGAACUGAGACACGGUCCAGACUCCUACGGGAGGCAGCAGUGGGGAAUAUUGGACAAUGGGCGAAAGCCUGAUCCAGCCAUGCCGCGUGUGUGAAGAAGGUCUUCGGAUUGUAAAGCACUUUAAGUUGGGAGGAAGGGCAGUAACCUAAUACGUGAGUGUUUUGACGUUACCGACAGAAUAAGCACCGGCUAAC